CGCUCCAUCCCAUGCGAUUCUUCUCAUUGCCAGCGGGGGCGCCGGUGGCUGGGCAGAGCUCCAUAGCUCUGCUUAGCGCACGUGGCACAAGCCCGGCGACGGGCGCGACAGCAGGGCUUCUGGCUCAGCCUCCACGGUCAGCCCCAGAAAAGAGCCUCAGGCGGUGGUCUGGUGGAGUGGAGGAAGAAAGAGGACCCCGACGCCCGUGCCUUGGGCAAGGUAUUCCAGAAUGGUGGAAGAGAAGAACAGAUAGGAAGCACUUGUUGACGGAGACACCAUAGGUGAAAUCUCUUCCAUUUCAGAAGGACACCAUCUGCUAGGAACUACAUGACAACAACUCCUUCAGAGCUUUGAUCCCAGUGGUAUAGAAAGCAGUGUGGGAGAUACUGGAGUUUUGCACAGAUCAUAGAUACCUGCCAAUUAGGGAUCCAACCCUCCUGAGUAUUCUGCAAAUCCCACGACCCCAACAGCAUGACUUGAAAAAAAAAAACUAUUGGAUGUUACCUCUUUGAGGACCCCUUUAACGCUAACCCAGAUGUUUCCUUCAGUGAAUCAGGAGACAUCGAUUUUCAUUGCCAUCUUGAAAAUAAGUCUAAAAUUUUUUAUUUGUACUAGUAUUUGAAAAAAUGUUCAAUAUUUCAGUUUCCUUAUGUGUGACUGUAUUCUAUCAAAAUAUUGAAUAAGUUAAACCAAAUGCCUGAUUACCUAUUUUUGUGUGUGUUUUAGCUUUUCUAUAAAGGAAGCUUAUGAGCUAAAAAGUGAAUGGAAAUUCUUUUUCUCUUCAGGUAUAUACCGAAACAUUCUUAGCACCUUAUAAAAAAGUCUGGUUCAUACUGGCCAUUAAAAUAAGCUUAUGAACUGUAACAUUAUCCCCUGAAAUUUGCUAUUUUGCUCCCAUUUUGUAUGAGAAAAUACUGUCUUACAAAGACUUAUCAUGCCAAGUUUGGGCUUAAAGUUCUACAGAUGAGAUUUAGAUCCCUUAGAAGUGAGUUUACAAUGAAAACUCUGACAUGGACACUUGCAGAUUUCACUGUAAUUAUUUUUUCUUUAAAAAGAUGCAUGAAACAAAUAUAUAUCACAUUUUAAAUACUGAAGUUUAGGCUAUGUAAGCAAUUAUUUUUCAAUGCUACAUCUACUAAAAAAAAUGUCCUUUGGGGUUGAAACACUGUCUAUAAAUUCUCAGGCUAGUUUUGUUGUUAUAACAGAUUAUAUAAUAUGCACUAUUUUUAGCCAAAGCAACACCAGGAAAAAUCUCAAAAAUGAUAUUUGGUAGAUAUUUAGCAUUCUACCAAGACAGUUUCCUUUUGAGUUGUACCCCUAAUUGCUUACAGAGGAGACAUUACACUUUAAAAUGGCUGUUGGCUUUGCAGAAUAGCUACUUCUUCAUAUUUUAAUGCUGCCAGAGAGACAAACCCAUUGAACUCAAAAAAGUUUAUGCCUGCAUAAAAGGAAAUGCAAAUUAAACUAUGCACCCUGCAUAAGGCAAUAAGGAAGCUGCCAUCUUUUAUGGAAAUACAAGUACAGAAGAUAAGGUACACAGAUGUUGCUUAGCAUCGUGCAUUGCAUAAGUUGUAAGGGAUAAUCUAAAGGAGGAAUCGCUAAAACAUCUGGGUCCAUUUACUGCUACUGGAUGUGGAUUAUCCUUAGAUGCUCUCUAUAACUGAAACUGAAUGUUAGUGUUAAUAUGUACAAUACAUCUAUGCUAUAAUAUCACAGUACAAGGACUUAUAUGAUAAAGAAAUUCAUGCACAAGUGACAUUAAUAACUUUAAGGUUGGACCUCACACUUCAUGUCCUGCAAAAGCAAAAAAUACAGAGUUUAGCCUCUAUUCUCCUUUUGAUAUGUGUACGUAACUCCAUUUGAUAAGAGAAAAAUUACUCACUUUGAUAAUAUGAGAAAAAUUUCUUACUGAUAAAUCAUAUUCUCUGAAGGCAAGAGAUAUAAUAGAACUCCUUUCCAAGGUCCAGGAUCCAGCAUAUGACAGGGAUCAGAAUACCCUAAAGCAUAGCUUUCUAAUACCAGCACUCUGGGCUAGCUUGUGCCUUUAAGGCACAGUCUGCGGUAAGGGUCGUGUGAAGCCAUGCCACCCAGAAGAACAAUGACAGGUAUUUUGCUCCCAUUUUCAGUUGCACUAGAGCAGGGGUUGGCAACCUUUCAGAAGUGGUGUGCCGAGUCUUCAUUUAUUCACUCUAAUUUAAGGUUUCGCGUGCCAGUAAUACAU